rnacentral:rRNA from 1 species
UACGUAGGUGGCAAGCGUUGUCCGGAUUUACUGGGCGUAAAGAGCGCGCAGGCGGUCAGAUAAGUCGAAUGUGAAAGCCCCCGGCUCAACUGGGGAGGGUCAUUCGAUACUGUUCGACUCGAAGGCAGGAGAGGGAAGCGGAAUUCCCGGUGUAGUGGUGAAAUGCGUAGAUAUCGGGAGGAACACCAGUGGCGAAGGCGGCUUCCUGGCCUGUUCUUGACGCUGAGGCGCGAAAGCUAGGGGAGCGAACGGG